AGCCCCGGAAAAGAUCUCCACCACAACCACAAUACAACGUCGUCCUCCUCCAACAAAGCAUAUUUCUCCGGUCCUAUGGUCUUGGUUCCUAACGCCGCUCGUGUAAGGAGAAACAAAAGCGACGCCGUUUGGGACGAGCCCACUUCACCUAAAGUCUCUUGCAUCGGCCAGAUCAAGCUCGUUAAAUCAAAACGCUCCUCUCCUAAGAAAAACCCUAAACCAUCUUCUUCCUCUUUAACCAAAGGAGAUGAUAACAAAGGUCGUUUUUCAAAGUUCAAACGUCUCUUCUCGUUCUCGUCAUCGGCUGGAGGUAACAAGUCUAGAAAACCCCAUCCCGCCGCCGUGACUGAACAGCCGGUUACGGUGGUUACCUCCGCGGCGGUGCCGUCGUUAGGUCAGAUGAAGAAGUUUGCGAGCAGCCGUGAUGGUUUAGGAAGAUUUGACUGGGAGGUCGAGAUGAAACGUGAAGAAGAAGAGUCUCCGGCUGAUCAUCGCCGUGGUUACUUUUCCGAUGAUGAGAGGAGAGGAGGUUGCUUAAGAGGCAAGGAAGAGGAAGAAGAUGACGUAAUAAUUCCGUUCUCAGCUCCGUUGAGUAUGAAGCCUAAGAAUGAAGUUAACUUGUGGAAGAGAAGAACCAUGGAUCCACCAAAACCACUUCAUCUUCAUACCUCUUGACCUUUGAAGUUACAUCUCCUUUUUAUUUCAAUAGGUAAGUCACUGCAAAUUAAAUCGUAUAAUGAUCAUCAUACAGAGUGAAUCUGGAUUUUGUUAUUAUGUAUAUAUGCUAAAUGGUGCCCAUAUAUAUCAUCAUUUCCAUUCUUUUUUAUUAUUAUUUGAAAGAAUCAUCAUUUUCCAUUCAUUAGUUAGUCUUUAUGAAUACUAGAGUCUUUGUCCGCGCUACGCGCGGAAAAUAGGUUUAAAUACGAGCCCACUUCACCUAAAGUCUCUUGCAUCGGCCAGAUCAAGCUCGUUAAAUCAAAACGCUCCUCUCCUAAGAAAAACCCUAAACCAUCUUCUUCCUCUUUAACCAAAGGAGAUGAUAACAAAGGUCGUUUUUCAAAGUUCAAACGUCUCUUCUCGUUCUCGUCAUCGGCUGGAGGUAACAAGUCUAGAAAACCCCAUCCCGCC
rnacentral:lncRNA from 1 species